rnacentral:rRNA from 1 species
AUUGAACGCUGGCGGCAUGCUUUACACAUGCAAGUCGAACGGUAACAGGGAGCUUGCUCCGCUGACGAGUGGCGAACGGGUGAGUAAUAUAUCGGAACGUACCCAAGAAUGGGGGAUAACGUAGCGAAAGUUACGCUAAUACCGCAUACGAUCUAUGGAUGAAAGCAGGGGACCUUCGGGCCUUGUGCUCCUGGAGCGGCCGAUAUCUGAUUAGCUAGUUGGUGAGGUAAAGGCUCACCAAGGCGACGAUCAGUAGCUGGUCUGAGAGGACGACCAGCCACACUGGAACUGGGAAACGGUCCAGCCUCCUACGGGGGGCAGCAGUGGGGAAUUGUGGACAAUGGGCGCAAGCCUGAUCCAGCAAUGCCGCGUGAGUGAAGAAGGCCUUCGGGUUGUAAAGCUCUUUUGUCAGGGAAGAAACGGCUGUGGCUAAUAUCCACGGCUAAUGACGGUACCGUAAGAAUAAGCACCGGCUAACUACGUGCCAGCCGCCGCCGUAA